ACUGACAGGCUAGAGUCUUGUAGAGGGGGGUAGAAUUCCAGGUGUAGCGGUGAAAUGCGUAGAGAUCUGGAGGAAUACCGGUGGCGAAGGCGGCCCCCUGGACAAAGACUGACGCUCAGGUGCGAAAGCGUGGGGAGCAAACAGGAUUAGAUACCCUGGUAGUCCACGCUGUAAACGAUGUCGACUUGGAGGUUGUGCCCUUGAGGCGUGGCUUCCGGAGCUAACGCGUUAAGUCGACCGCCUGGGGAGUACGGCCGCAAGGUUAAAACUCAAAUGAAUUGACGGGGGCCCGCACAAGCGGUGGAGCAUGUGGUUUAAUUCGAUGCAACGCGAAGAACCUUACCUACUCUUGACAUCCAGAGAAUUUGCUAGAGAUAGCUUAGUGCCUUCGGGAACUCUGAGACAGGUGCUGCAUGGCUGUCGUCAGCUCGUGUUGUGAAAUGUUGGGUUAAGUCCCGCAACGAGCGCAACCCUUAUCCUUUGUUGCCAGCGAUUCGGUCGGGAACUCAAAGGAGACUGCCGGUGAUAAACCGGAGGAAGGUGGGGGAUGACGUCAAGUCAUCAUGGCCCUUACGAGUAGGGCUACACACGUGCUACAAUGG
rnacentral:rRNA from 1 species